rnacentral:misc_RNA from 1 species
UACGGAGGGUGCAAGCGUUGUCCGGAUUUACUGGGCGUAAAGGGCGCGUAGGCGGGAUGGUCAGUCGAGGGUGAAAACUGCAGGCUUAACUUGCAGCUUGCCUUCGAUACUGCCAUUCUUGAAUGCAGGAGAGGGUAGUAGAAUUCCCGGUGUAGCGGUGGAAUGCGCAGAUAUCGGGAGGAAUACCGGCUGCGAAGGCUGCUGCCUGGCCUGACAUUGACGCUGAGGCGCGAAAGCGUGGGGAGCAAACAGG